rnacentral:lncRNA from 1 species
UUUUUUUGUAGAGAGGGGGUCCCGGUAUGUUGCCCAGGUGAGUCUCAAAUUCCUGGGCUCAAUUCUCCCACCCUGGCCUCCCAAAGUGGUACAAUUGCAGGUAUGAGCCCUGAUUUCUUAUAUGGUAAAGACAGUAACUGGCCUCUCUAGGGACUGGCAGGUGUGGGUUCGACCCCAGCUCUGCCAACCACCAAAGUCCAAGUGUUUAUUGUCCACCUGGACUGCCUCAGACACUUGCAGGAUGUGGUAAGUACUAUGACACAGGUGCACAGAAGGUGCUCUGGGAACAGCUUGUCUUCAUGUUUACAAUGGCUUCUUUCCCUAGCCAAGGACUCUAUCAGCCUUGCCACUUGGGGACAGGUUGAGCUCGCUCAGGGAGUCAGGCCCCACAGGGCUCCCUGCCAACCUCCCAUCAUUGUGAUUGAAUUUAUUCUUUAUUUUUCUUCCAGGAACAUCAGCGCACUUGUAACAAUAAUAAUCAUCUUUUCUACUGGGUAUACUGUUUCAUGGUUUACAAAGCACUUUCACAUCCAUUAUCUCAUUUAAUCACUUCCUCCUCUACAUUCCUACAACAGUUUCUUGGUACCUCUUCAGUAUAAUAUUCUGCCUGGUAUAACAAGCCUAUUUCCCUUUACUGCAUUUAUUUUUACUCACAAGUUCCAGCAUAUAAUUCAGGCAUCUUUGCACCUUGGACACUUCUGUGUACAAAGUAAGCACAAUAAAAGUUUGACAUGCCAGUCACAGCAGCCUUCGACCACAGUACCAGCUACUUGGGAG